rnacentral:rRNA from 1 species
UACGUAGGGGGCUAGCGUUGUCCGGAAUCAUUGGGCGUAAAGCGCGUGUAGGCGGUCCGGUAAGUCCGCUGUGAAAGUCGGGGGCUCAACCCUCGAAUGCCGGUGGAUACUGUCAGACUAGAGUACGGAAGAGGCGAGUGGAAUUCCUGGUGUAGCGGUGAAUGCGCAGAUAUCAGGAGGAACACCCAUUGCGAAGGCAGCUCGCUGGGACGUUACUGACGCUGAGACGCGAAAGCGUGGGGAGCAAACAGG